UUGUUAUUCAAAUGAAGUAAGUAGUGUAAAUUAUCAUUUUAAUAUUUAAAGAGUAAAAUGAACUGUUCUCAUCACUUUUUAAGGUCACCAACAUCAUCUAUACUAUCUUCAUCAAUCUGAAACAAACAAAAAUCAAACAUUAAAUGUUGUAACUUUCAUCUGUAAACAAGAGUGUACACACUGACAUGCCUCGCCUUCUUUACUAAUCAUUGAUAUUAUGUUGAUACAUGUUUGUAGUCCUAAAUUUUUUGUAUAAAGG
rnacentral:lncRNA from 1 species